rnacentral:rRNA from 1 species
GAUGAACGCUGGCGGCGUGCUUAACACAUGCAAGUCGAACGGUGAACACGGAGCUUGCUCUGUGGGAUCAGUGGCGAACGGGUGAGUAACACGUGAGCAACCUGCCCCUGACUCUGGGAUAAGCGCUGAAACGGCGUCUAAUACUGGAUAUGUGACGUGACCGCAUGGUCUGCGUUUGGAAAGAUUGUUCGGUUGGGGAUGGGCUCGCGGCGUAUCAGCUUGUUGGUGAGGUAAUGGCUCACCAAGGCGUCGACGGGUAGCCGGCCUGAGAGGGUGACCGGCCACACUGGGAUUGAGAGACGGCCCAGACUCCUACGGGAGGCAGCAGUGGGGAAUAUUGCACAAUGGGAGAAAGCCUGAUGCAGCAACGCCGCGUGAGGGAUGACGGCCUUCGGGUUGUAAACCUUUUUUAGCAGGGAAGAAGCGAAAGUGACGGUACCUGCAGAAAAAGCGCCGGCUAACUACGUG